GACGAACGCUGGCGGCGUGCCUAAUACAUGCAAGUAGAACGCACAGUUUAUACCGUAGCUUGCUACACCAUAGACUGUGAGUUGCGAACGUGUGAGUAACGCGUCGGUAACCUGCCUGGUAGCGGGUGCUAACUAUUGUAACCGAUAGCUAAUACCGCCUCAUAUUUAUUAUUGCAUGAUAAUUAAUUUAAAGGUGCAAUUUCACCACUACCAGAUGUACCUAAGUUGUAUUAGCUAGUAAGUGAGGUAACGGCUCACCUAGGCGACGAUACAUAGCCGACCUUAGAGGGUGAACGGCCACACUGGGACUGGGAAACGGCCCAGACUCCCACGGGAGGGAGCAGUAGGGAAACUUCGGAAAAGGAGGAAAGGCUGAACGAGCAAAGGCGCGGGAGUGAAGAAGGUUUUCGGAUCGGAAAGCUAUGUUGUAAGAGAAGAAAGGGUGUGAGAGUGGAAAGUUCACACUGUGACGGUAUCUGAACAGAAAGGGACGGCUAACUACGUG
rnacentral:rRNA from 1 species